UCUUUAUCACCGAGUGCUUGCACUCACCGGUAAAGGGUUGAGUGGCGAACGGGUGAGUAACACGUGGGCAACCUGCCCAAAAGAGGGGGAUAACACUUGGUAACAGGUGCUAAUACCGCAUAACCAUAGUUACCGCAUGGUAGCUAUGUAAAAGGUGGCUAUGCUACCGCUUUUGGAUGGGCCCGCGGCGCAUUAGCUAGUUGGUGGGGUAAAGGCUUACCAAGGCAAUGAUGCGUAGCCGAACUGAGAGGUUGAUCGGCCACAUUGGGACUGAGACACGGCCCAAACUCCUACGGGAGGCAGCAGUAGGGAAUCUUCCACAAUGGGCGAAAGCCUGAUGGAGCAACGCCGCGUGGGUGAAGAAGGUCUUCGGAUCGUAAAACCCUGUUGUUAGAGAAGAAAGUGCGUGAGAGUAACUGUUCACGUUUCGACGGUAUCUAACCAGAAAGCCACGGCUAACUACGUGCCAGCAGCCGCGGUAAUACGUAGGUGGCAAGCGUUAUCCGGAUUUAUUGGGCGUAAAGGGAACGCAGGCGGUCUUUUAAGUCUGAUGUGAAAGCCUUCGGCUUAACCGGAGUAGUGCAUUGGAAACUGGGAGACUUGAGUGCAGAAGAGGAGAGUGGAACUCCAUGUGUAGCGGUGAAAUGCGUAGAUAUAUGGAAGAACACCAGUGGCGAAAGCGGCUCUCUGGUCUGUAACUGACGCUGAAGUUCGAAAGCGUGGGUA
rnacentral:rRNA from 1 species